UAGCUUUGAAAUAAAAUUCUGAAACUCCUCCAUUACGGUCACUGGGGAAUAGUUCACAUGAAGCAACUAACUCGUCAAAACGUCUGGUGGCCAGGUAUCGACGAAGAUAUUGCACAACUAACCAAGAGCUGCAGCGUUUGCAAGAUAGUUCCCGUUUAUAACACAGAUGUCAUCGACUACAACUGCAAAUACAAUAUCUGCACUUACAGCCAUAUUUGCGAUCGAGGGUUACCCAAAAACGUUAGUUAGCGAUAACGGACCGCAACUUACCGCAGAACCAUUUAAGGAUUUUUGCCUUUUGCACGGAAUUAAUCACCUAACAACAGCCCCAUUCCACCCAGCAUCUAAUGGAUUGCAGAUCGUUUUGUGCAAACUUUUAAAACCUCAGUUACUAAAAACAUAAGGGAAGGUAACAUCCAUAGGUGUCAUCAAGCGCCACAUUAACCAGAUCAAACCGAGAUCCGAUUCAGAAGAAAUUGAAGACAAAAGUAUGUUUUGGUGAAUGUUCGAAAAUCCAAGUCCGCAAAAGAUAGUCGCAAACUCUAGACAUGAAGAAAACCAUCGGUUUUUUCAUCACAGCCUCUUCAGUCCAUACCAGUCUCCGAUGAAGUACCAGCAGAGUCAUAGCAAGAAGUCCUUCAAAAGCCACAGAAGCGCCGAUCGGGUAUUCCCAUUCGAAGCAGUACCCGAUCUCGCCAAGUAGUCAACAGAUUCCGGCCCACAGAUAUCAGAAGGCGUAAAACUACUAACAAAAUGAAAUUUUAGCGGAGAGAUGUGAUAUGUAUUGCAAUUUCUAAAAAAUAUUGCAUCAUCCAUUCCUACAAGAGUUCCCUGAAAAUAGCCUUUCUGGCGCAACCUAUAUUUACCAUUGCAUCAUCUAUUUACCUGUACACACAAAUACUAAUAUAACUGAGACAUGUAUAAAAGGAGCCGAACAUAGCCAAACACAAUAACACAAUAUAUUAUUUAUUAAUACGUAUCCACAUAUUGAAGUUUAUGCUCAGUUCAUCUUGAAGUUAUUAAAUCUUGAAGAGUCUUAA